rnacentral:tRNA from 1 species
GCGCGGGUAGUUUACUGGUAGAAUAUGUCGUUGCCAACGAUGUGAACCGGGUUCAAUUCCCGGUCCGCGCA